AAGAAACGAGAGAAAGAGAACUC
rnacentral:sRNA from 1 species